GACGGAGGAUGCAAGUGUUAUCCGGAAUCACUGGGCGUAAAGCGUCUGUAGGUGGUUUAACAAGUCCACUGUUAAAAAUUGAAGCUUAACUUCAAGGGUGCCGUGGAAACUUUUAAACUUGAGUAUGGUAGGGGUAGAGGGAAUUUCCAGUGGAGCGGUGAAAUGCGUAGAUAUUGGAAAGACCACCAAUGGCGAAGGCACUCUACUGGGCCAUUACUGACACUGAGAGACGAAAGCUAGGGGAGCAAAUGGG
rnacentral:rRNA from 1 species